AUGGUUUCCGGAUGAUAACUCAAGAACGCAUAUGCCUAGGAUCAUGAAACUUCAUGGGUAGAUUGAUCAUGACUUGCAGAUAACCCCUAUUGAUUUUGAGGUCACUAGGUCAAAGGUCAAGGUCACGGUGACCCGAAAUAGUAAAAUGGUUUUCGGAUGAUAACUCAAGAACGCAUACGCCUAGGAUCAUGAAACUUCAUAGGUAGAUUGAUCAUGACUCGCAGAUGACCCCUAUUGAUUUUGAGGUCACAAGGUCAAAGGUCAAGGUCACGGUGACCCGAAAUAGUAAAAUGAUUUUCGGAUGAUAACUCAAGAACAUUUUUGCCUAGGAUCAUGACACUUCAUAGGUAGAUUGAUCGUGACUCGCAGAUGACCCCUAUUGAUUUUCAGGUCACUAGGUCAAAGGUCAAGGUCACAGUGACAAAAAUCGUAUUCACACAAUGGCUGCCACUACAACGGACAGCCCAUAUGGGGGCAUGCAUGUUUUACAAACAGCCCUUGUUAUAUAAGUUAUUCAUAAAGUCAUUUAUAUACAUAUGGUCCAUGCUCUGUGAAAAGGGGGUUAAAUGCAUGUGCGUAAAGUGUCGUCCUAAAUUAGACUGUGCAGUCUGCACAGGCUAAUCAGGGACAACACUUUCCGUCUAAACUGGAUGUUUGCUAAGAAUAUACUUUCUUUAUAAAGAAAAUGUCAUAAAAGCGGAAAGUGUCGUCCCUGAUUAGUCUGUGCGAACUGCACAGGUUCUCCUUUGCUCCUCUCAGAUUUGUUCAAAUAAUUCCCAUGGAGUCAAAUAUGGAUACACCCCAGGGUCAAUUCAAUGUUUCUAUUGUUAUAUCUUACUUCAUAUUUCGACCUGCAUAAUUGUGUGGGUGUGUGCGUGUGGUUAUUUAUCACUGUGACAAGUUCUAGUUGUGAAGUCAUUGCCUUAAAGCUAGUAAACUUAUUCAAUCUUAUUAUGAAGUGAUCCUUGGGUAACCCCCUACCAAUUCCUUCUAUAUCAAUAUAAAAAAUGAAACCUUU